UAAACAAAACGAAAAAAGGUUGUCAAAUUGAUGAGAUAUGACUUUAAUAUAUUUGUUCUUUUCUAUCUUUUUCUUCUUGCCUUUUCAUUAUUUUUACCACCUACAUUUCCACAAUAUCUUUUCCUAAUAAUAUAUAUCUGCCUCUUCCUUUCAUCAUUGCGUUCUUGUCUCCUUCUCUUUCACUUUUAUGACCUUUGUAAAUUAUAAGCUGAUCAUCUCUCUUGUAAAAGGUAGCUAGGGUUCUUCUUAUGGAUUCCAUGUUCAUCUCUGAAGCUUUUUCUUUUGAGGGGAUUGUUGUCUGGCACGAGGCCCUUAACUCAGAUCUACGAUCGGUUAUAUAAUAUAUAAUAUGAACGAUCAGUAAGUGGUUGAUGACGUCGGACCAGGCUUCAUUCCCCUCAGUUACAUCGCUUCGUUCCUCCUUCGAGUCAUUUCCAGCUACCAAGUCUCGAGGGAUGAAUUAGCUAUUAAUUGCAAGUUAAGGUUGCUAAUCAAGAUCAGAAAGCUUUAUUACAAAAAAAAAAGAAAGAUCAGAUUCAUUCGUUGUGUAUAUCCUAUGUAAGUAAUGAAUGGCAAAAAAAUUAUCGUUUCGAACAUAACAGCAACCCGAGCUUUUGAAUGGCAGAAAUUUGAGAUCUAUAAUUAAGGUUUGUAA